rnacentral:rRNA from 1 species
UACGAAGGGGGCUAGCGUUGUUCGGAAUUACUGGGCGUAAAGGGCGCGUAGGCGGUACUUCAAGUCAGGCGUGAAAGCCCCGGGCUCAACCUGGGAAUUGCAUUCGAGACUGAAUAGCUAGGGUACGGUAGAGGGAAGCGGAAUUUCCGGUGUAGCGGUGAAGAUGCGUAGAGAUUGGAAAGAACACCGAUGGCGAAGGCACUUUACUGGGCUAUUACUAACACUCAGAGACGAAAGCUAGGGUAGCAAAUGGG